rnacentral:rRNA from 1 species
UACGAAGGGGGCUAGCGUUAUUCGGAAUUAUUGGGCGUAAAGGGCGUGUAGGCGGCUCUGUGUGUCCCAUGUGAAAGCCCUCGGCUCAACCGGGGAACUGCAUGGGAAACUGCGGAGCUUGAGUCCGGGAGAGGUGAGUGGAAUUCCCAGUGUAGCGGUGAAAUGCGUAGAUAUUGGGAGGAACACCAGUGGCGAAGGCGGCUCACUGGACCGGUACUGACGCUGAGACGCGAAAGCCAGGGGAGCAAACGGG